rnacentral:rRNA from 1 species
UAUGGCUCAGAUUGAACGCUAGCGGGAUGCCUUACACAUGCAAGUCGAACGGCAGCACGGACUUCGGUCUGGUGGCGAGUGGCGAACGGGUGAGUAAUGUAUCGGAACGUGCCUAGUAGCGGGGGAUAACUACGCGAAAGCGUAGCUAAUACCGCAUACGCCCUACGGGGGAAAGCAGGGGAUCGCAAGACCUUGCACUAUUAGAGCGGCCGAUAUCGGAUUAGCUAGUUGGUGGGGUAACGGCUCACCAAGGCGACGAUCCGUAGCUGGUUUGAGAGGACGACCAGCCACACUGGGACUGAGACACGGCCCAGACUCCUACGGGAGGCAGCAGUGGGGAAUUUUGGACAAUGGGGGAAACCCUGAUCCAGCCAUCCCGCGUGUGCGAUGAAGGCCUUCGGGUUGUAAAGCACUUUUGGCAGGAAAGAAACGUCAUGGGCUAAUACCCCGUGAAACUGACGGUACCUGCAGAAUAAGCACCGGCUAACUACGUGCCAGCAGCCGCGGUAAUACGUAGGGUGCAAGCGUUAAUCGGAAUUACUGGGCGUAAAGCGUGCGCAGGCGGUUCGGAAAGAAAGAUGUGAAAUCCCAGAGCUUAACUUUGGAACUGCAUUUUUAACUACCGAGCUAGAGUGUGUCAGAGGGAGGUGGAAUUCCGCGUGUAGCAGUGAAAUGCGUAGAUAUGCGGAGGAACACCGAUGGCGAAGGCAGCCUCCUGGGAUAACACUGACGCUC